GGCGCGGCUCACGCUCUGCCUCCGUCUUGCCAUCAAAGUGCCACACACUUGGAUGGUUUGUUUACUUUUCAUUCAGUUCAAAACACCUUCUAAUUUCCCUUUUGGUUUCCGCUUUGAUCCACGGCUUAUUUCAAAGCGUGAUAUUUAAUUUCCAAAUAGUUGGAGAUUUUCCCAGAUCUCCGUUAAUGAUUUCUAACUUAAGUCCACUGGGGCUAAAGGACACAAGUCAUGUGACUUGAGCACGUUAACGUCGGUUAGGCUGGUUUUAUGGCCCAGAGUGUUUUCUUUUUGUUCCUUUUUUUCUUUUUUCUUUUUAGGGGCCAACCUGCGGCAUAUGGAACUAUGCCUGCCGGCCUGCACCAGAGCCACAGCAACGCAGGAUCCGAGCCGCGUCUGCGACCUACACCACAGCUCAUGGCAACGCCGGAUCCUUAGCCCACUGAGUGAAGCCAGGGAUCGAACCCGUGUCCUCACGGUUCCUCGUCGGAUCCGUUAACCACCGCGCCACGACAGGAACUCCCGGAACAUUUUCUUGGUAAAUGUGCCACAUGCUGCUGGAAAGAACGGGUACACCUCUGCGGUCACGCAGAGCGGGUGCUCCGGUCUCCUGCGUUCCUCCGGGUAUCUCCCGGUACCUUGGCCGUCGUUACCCAGAGCGUCAGGAUCCCCUGCCACGGUGCGUUUCACUCUGUGUCCUGGCAUUCCCAAACGCUUCCGCGCAGCGUAUUUUAAAGCGCUGGUGUUGGGUACAUAAACAUUUAGGAUUGUUGUAUUCUUUUGAUGAACUGAUGCUUUUAUUUAUUUUGCUUUUUAGGGCUGCACCUGCAACAUAUGGAAGUUCCCAGGCGCGGCCCUGAAGAGACGAAACGAACCCUCUGCCUUUUCGUUGGAGGGUUUAAACCGUUUACAUCUGAGGCGAUGACCGACGUGGUUGAGUCUGACCUGCCGCAGGUGCCGACGUGCCCCCCACCCCCCACGCCCCGCUUCUCCCUCCGUAUUGCUCUGCCUGCUCCCGCACCAAGGCCUCUUGUCUCUCUUACCGAUUGUGGCUUUGCCGGUUGCCGUCAGGUUUACGGUCUGUCUGUAGCCCAUCCCAGCCCCCUGGAAGCACACCCCGUGUGAGGAGCUCCGUGGCUCCCCGCCUGCCCUGUGCCGUCACACACGUUACUGCUACGUGAGAGCAACCCCACAAACGCUCUGAAUAUUUUAGCUUUAAGUGGUUUGUUGUUUAGACAGUUUAACACGCCUAUCCCGACCUACCUGGUGCCGUCUCCACUGCCUGCCUUCCUCUGUGCAGAGCGGAUUCCGUCCGCUACCGAGGGCUCCCUUUAGCAUUUCUCGGAGCGGGUUUGCUGGGAUGAGCUCAGUGUUUGUAACGCCCCUAAUUUCUCAACGUACUCCGAUGUGAACUCCGCCGGCUAAAGAAUUCUCGGCAGCAUCUCUUCUAGAACGUGGGUGGUGCGUGUUGAGGGUGAAGGUGGAAGCCCACGUUUGUCCUGCUGCUUGCAGCUGGAGGAGCACGCCUGCCGGGCGCGGAGCCCUGGCCACGGCCAGCUGAACGCCUGCUCCGAGGCUCCUGGCCAACGGCAGGGUCUGCACCUCUGCCUGAGGGUCUGUCUCUCAGAGCCUCUGAGGCCCAACCUAAGAAUGACCAGCCCCACCUUGAAAUCGGCAGCAAUGCAGCCGUGAAGUUACGAGAAUCAAGGAAGCUCCCGAGAAAACCCAUCGGC
rnacentral:lncRNA from 9 species